GAUGAACGCUGGCGGCGUGCCUAAUACAUGCAAGUCGAGCGAACGGACGAGAAGCUUGCUUCUCUGAUGUUAGCGGCGGACGGGUGAGUAACACGUGGAUAACCUACCUAUAAGACUGGGAUAACUUCGGGAAACCGGAGCUAAUACCGGAUAAUAUUUUGAACCGCAUGGUUCAAAAGUGAAAGACGGUCUUGCUGUCACUUAUAGAUGGAUCCGCGCUGCAUUAGCUAGUUGGUAAGGUAACGGCUUACCAAGGCAACGAUGCAUAGCCGACCUGAGAGGGUGAUCGGCCACACUGGAACUGAGACACGGUCCAGACUCCUACGGGAGGCAGCAGUAGGGAAUCUUCCGCAAUGGGCGAAAGCCUGACGGAGCAACGCCGCGUGAGUGAUGAAGGUCUUCGUAUCGUAAAACUCUGUUAUUAGGGAAGAACAUAUGUGUAAGUAACUGUGCACAUCUUGACGGUACCUAAUCAGAAAGCCACGGCUAACUACGUG
rnacentral:rRNA from 1 species